rnacentral:lncRNA from 1 species
UUUUCUCUCGCCCACUCUACCAGAAAGCACCUCACAGUCCCUACACAAUUCUCUACGCAAUGCCGCUUCUGCGCAGAGCCCGGGUCCCUCAG